UUCUGGCUCAGAUUGAACGCUGGCGGCAUGCCUUACACAUGCAAGUCGAACGGCAGCACGGGAGCAAUCCUGGUGGCGAGUGGCGAACGGGUGAGUAAUACAUCGGAACGUGUCCUGGAGUGGGGGAUAGCCCGGCGAAAGCCGGAUUAAUACCGCAUACGCUCUAUGGAGGAAAGCGGGGGAUCUUUCGGGACCUCGCGCUCAAGGGGCGGCCGAUGGCAGAUUAGCUAGUUGGUGGGGUAAAGGCCUACCAAGGCGACGAUCUGUAGCUGGUCUGAGAGGACGACCAGCCACACUGGGACUGAGACACGGCCCAGACUCCUACGGGAGGCAGCAGUGGGGAAUUUUGGACAAUGGGCGCAAGCCUGAUCCAGCAAUGCCGCGUGUGUGAAGAAGGCCUUCGGGUUGUAAAGCACUUUUGUCCGGAAAGAAAACCUCUGGGUUAAUACCCCGGGGGGAUGACGGUACCGGAAGAAUAAGCACCGGCUAACUACGUGCCAGCAGCCGCGGUAAUACGUAGGGUGCGAGCGUUAAUCGGAAUUACUGGGCGUAAAGCGUGCGCAGGCGGUUCGUUAAGACAGAUGUGAAAUCCCCGGGCUUAACCUGGGAACUGCAUUUGUGACUGGCGGGCUAGAGUAUGGCAGAGGGGGGUAGAAUUCCACGUGUAGCAGUGAAAUGCGUAGAGAUGUGGAGGAAUACCGAUGGCGAAGGCAGCCCCCUGGGCCAAUACUGACGCUCAUGCACGAAAGCGUGGGGAGCAAACAGGAUUAGAUACCCUGGUAGUCCACGCCCUAAACGAUGUCAACUAGUUGUUGGGGAUUCAUUUCCUUAGUAACGUAGCUAACGCGUGAAGUGACCGCC
rnacentral:rRNA from 2 species